rnacentral:rRNA from 1 species
UACAGAGGUCUCAAGCGUUGUUCGGAUUCAUUGGGCGUAAAGGGCUCGUAGGCGGUUUGUCGCGUCGGGAGUGAAAACCCAGGGCUUAACCCUGGGCUGGCUUCCGAUACGGGCAGACUAGAGGUAUGCAGGGGAGAACGGAAUUCCUGGUGUAGCGGUGAAAUGCGCAGAUAUCAGGAGGAACACCGGUGGCGAAGGCGGUUCUCUGGGCAUUACCUGACGCUGAGGAGCGAAAGUGUGGGGAGCGAACAGG